AGAGUUUGAUCCUGGCUCAGAUUGAACGCUGGCGGCAGGCCUAACACAUGCAAGUCGAACGGUAACAGGCGAGUGCUUGCACUUGCGCUGACGAGUGGCGGACGGGUGAGUAACGCGUAGGAAUCUACCUGGUAGUGGGGGAUAGCCCGGGGAAACUCGGAUUAAUACCGCAUACGCCCUACGGGGGAAAGCAGGGGCUCUUCGGACCUUGCGCUAUUGGAUGAGCCUGCGUUAGAUUAGCUAGUUGGUGGGGUAAAGGCCUACCAAGGCGACGAUCUAUAGCUGGUCUGAGAGGAUGAUCAGCCACACUGGGACUGAGACACGGCCCAGACUCCUACGGGAGGCAGCAGUGGGGAAUAUUGCGCAAUGGGCGAAAGCCUGACGCAGCCAUGCCGCGUGUGUGAAGAAGGCUCUAGGGUCGUAAAGCACUUUAAGUGGGGAGGAAGGCUACUUAGUUAAUACCUGAGUAGAUUGACGUUACCCACAGAAUAAGCACCGCCUAACUCCGUGCCAGCAGCCGCGGUAAUACGGAGGGUGCGAGCGUUAAUCGGAAUUACUGGGCGUAAAGCGCGCGUAGGCGGUUUUGUAAGCUGGGUGUGAAAGCCCCGGGCUCAACCUGGGAACUGCAUUCAGAACUGCAAGGCUAGAGUACAGUAGAGGGUGGUAGAAUUUCCUGUGUAGCGGUGAAAUGCGUAGAUAUAGGAAGGAAUACCAGUGGCGAAGGCGGCCACCUGGACUGAUACUGACGCUGAGGUGCGAAAGCGUGGGUAGCGAACAGGAUUAGAUACCCUGGUAGUCCACGCUGUAAACGAUGUCAACUAGCCGUAGGGAUCCUUGAGAUUUUUGUGGCGCAGCUAACGCACUAAGUUGACCGCCUGGGGAGUACGGCCGCAAGGUUAAAACUCAAAUGAAUUGACGGGGGCCCGCACAAGCGGUGGAGCAUGUGGUUUAAUUCGAUGCAACGCGAAGAACCUUACCUGGUCUUGACAUCCUCGGAAGC
rnacentral:rRNA from 1 species